GCGAGAGAUGCUUUUCCCUCCUGGAAUUUUCUCUACUUUUAGAAAACGUGUGCUUAACUUGUAGAUGUGGUUGCCAGUGCUGGUCAGAAUCAGAGAUGUGCACUGGCAAGACAGAAAACUAUACUCUGAGGACUAUGUGAUGUAAGAAGUGCCUGGAAAUGGAAGAGUGGAACCAGACAUGGUUUUUUUUUCAAAUGAACAUAGGAAAAUGGAGUGGCUACUGUUGUUGCCUUGUGCACAUUUCCCUGUGUGGGCUCAAAGACUCAAUGACCUCUACUAUAAGCACCUGUGACAUUUGCCUGAGGAC